ensembl:lncRNA
AUGCCCCUCACUGAGACUCCCCAAGGGGUAAUUGUGAAGGUUCAAGGGUGUACGUUUAACAUCGGUUCUCCAAGAGCUGAAAAAUGCAGCAUACAGAGUCUAGGCCAGUGGGAAGCCAUGCUCUUGAGGGAGAUGCAUCUAGAACCACAACUUCCUACAGACCCUCAAAUCUGCAGUUGUGCAUAUUAUGAGUAUUUUAAGCUUCCAAUGGGGGAGAGAUCAUAGCGUGCUUCCAUAUUAAUUGCCCUUUGGAAUGGCUCAAUUAUGCUAUUAAUGGGCCCGGGUGUGAGAACUAAUGGCUGGAGACUUUUUUUGCAUAGCAUUAGCUUAAUUGAGCUGCAGAUAGAGGCCUAGUGUGACUAGCAGGUCAAGCUAAUGUUACCACUGGUCCAGCAGAAGACCUUUAACUGACAGCUAUAUUAAUUAACAACUAUCCAGUUACAUAGGCUUUAAAAGAGAUGAAUUAGUAACAUGUUUGGUGGAGCAGCAUAUUGGUCUUCAGCUGAAAAAUAAAAAUAAGGUUUAGGUUUGUAACACUGGGUGGAAAGUCUUUCUAUACUGUUAAGUUAUCAAAAUAUGCUGAAACAAUUUGCAAAAUAUAAUUUUGGUGGGUUCUUACAAUACUGUGUUUGGUUGAUGAUGGAUUUAAUGUGUUUUAAUUGCACUAACAGGAAUAGUUUGUAUAAUCUGUGGAUGUCAGUACACCUAUUAAAUUAAUCUAAAUGACCAAGUUUCUGUUUUUGGAAUAAGUCGGUAUUUUACAGUAGAAAAGUCCUCCUACUUAUGGAAAGUCCAGCUGCAUCAGAAAGUAGGCUGAGCGAAGCAGGUCAGGCAGGAAGUUCUUUUGUUAUGUAAAGAGCUGCUAUUUGAUCCUCACAGAAAAAAAAGGAAAAGAAAAGGGAGCCGUUCAGAUAAACUUGCCUCAUCAGAUAAUUGAAGAUGCCUUCGCUCCAGUUUCUCUCUUUUGCAUAAAUGUCUGAUCAGUUUUCAGAGGCCGAUAACGGCACGCCUGUCCCUCUGCUCGCUCCUCUGGAGUUCUGCGGGAUCUCUGAAGAGCUCCAGCAUGGUGCCUGAGCUAAGAAAACAUUUGCAGGAUGAUCUUUCUGAUCUUCAUCAUGUAUAGAUAAUAUAUUCCAUUGUGUGUUUUUUGUUCUGUCUUUGGAAAUCUCCAGUCUUGCUCAGCGCUUAUGAUUUUUAAGCGUUUGAUGUAUGUGUGGAAAAUGUAUAUUUGAAUAUUCAUGAUAACAGCUAAAGAAUGUUUAUUAGUAAUUUUUCUCUAUAAGUUCCAUUAGCUUGUCUUUUUGGUGUUCUCUAUUUCUUAUUUAAUCAACAGUAAGUGACUCACUUGGCUGUAAGC